ACCACCUGAAAACACAAAAGACAAAGUCAUUGUUUCUCUACAGGAGAAUCAGUCAGAAAGUCAACAGGAUCUGAUCAACCAGGUGGACCUACCAGCUUUGGGAGGUCACCAUGAAGGGGCUCUCUACGGUACUCUGUAAUUAAGUGAUCUAUAUAUCCAAUUCAUUAUGACUAUUACCCGAGAAAGGAAGGGAAGAGAAACACGGCUGAAGGGCGGCAGGAAUUACAGACACACGUUACAUGGACAGAGGCUGUCUCCACCACUUCAACUACAGCACAGAGGACCAUGGCUCAGUGCAGUCAGAGACUGAUUUGACAAAAGCAAAAAGUCCAAAUUUUCUCAUGUGUGCCACCAAGAGCAAGAGUCAACUACGUUUGUCCUACACCAGAAGACGCCACUAGCAUCCUAAGUCAAUCGAAGAAAUACACACUCGUAUGCUUAAAGUUACAAAAGCCCUAGUCACUUUCCCUAAUUUAUGGCUUUUACUGACUUUCUGAUUAACUGAGCAACUACAGUUACGAUGAGCAUCCCAAACGACAAGCAGAAAAAAAAUCUGUAGGAAACAA